CGGGAAGCUAUCCCUGCCCUCGGGGGCUCGAGCCUGGAGUGGGGCUUGCAGAAAAGGAAAGGGGGCUGGCCGAAAGGCAAGAAGAGAAACCCCCCGAGGGACCUUGCUGUUCCGUGUUCCUACGACAGGGUACAUGAUAUUCCUGAACAAGCAGAGAAGUCAGCUGAGGGCCACACACCCCGAUCUGCCUUUCACAGAAAUCAUGAAGAUGCUGGCUGUUCAGUGGGCCCAGCUGUCUCAGGAUAAAAAGGGGGAGAUGAACUCAAUGACCUCUACUGCGGGACCUCCAGGCAGCUCUUCAGCUCCCUGCGCAACAAGAAGGAACCUGCUGCAAAGGCAGCACCUGCAGCCCCUCUCAGGUAACCAGCCUGGGCCAGGCGGCUCAGCCGCAAACGCUGGCCUUGAC
rnacentral:lncRNA from 1 species